AUGCACCAUCUUGUCGUGGUCGACGCCGUCACAGCGCCCAUCACCACAUCGUCCUGCCGCACGCAGCAGCCACCUCUUGACGUGGACGGCGCCUUCGCAACGCCGAUCACCACGCCAUCAUCACCUCGCGGCAUCGCACCGAAACCGGCCAUCAGCGGUAUCGCACCGCUGGCAGCCAUCACCUCGCACCGACGUCCUCCACCUCACAUGGAGUCCACCGCGUCACCGCCGUCGCAGCCGUUGCCUCCGCCCAGCACCACGGCGGCCACCAUAGCCGCCGGCACCGUCGUCGCCGCCACGAAUCAACCUGGCUCUGAUGCCAAUUGUUGGCGCCAUCUCUCCUUGCAGCGCCGCUCCUUCUUCUACCUCGAGUUGCCUCUCACAACUCUCUUCUCCCUCUCACACAAUUCUCUUGUGUUUUCUCUCAAGAACUCUCUCAUGAACACACACACACGCACGCAUAUACCAAGGAAGAGGAACGGCUUUGCCAGAGACACUCCCUUGGUGAACCACAAUGGCUACAUGGUUUCUCUGCUCAGCCCUCUCGGCCUCACUUCAUUACUCAGUAUGCAACAUGUAUAUAUACAUCAGGUGCUGGACUCACGCACGCACUACCAGCCACCUUAA
rnacentral:rRNA from 1 species